rfam:Triticum aestivum genome assembly, contig: Triticum_aestivum_CS42_TGACv1_scaffold_424563_5BS
CUUGUAAUCCCUCCGUCCAGAAAUACUUGUCAUUGAAAUGGAUGUAGAUGUAUUUUAGUUCUAGACACAUCCAUUUUGAUGACAAGUAAUUCCGGACGGAGGGAGUACUUG